AUUGAACGCUGGCGGCAUGCCUUACACAUGCAAGUCGAACGGUAACAGGUCUUCGGAUGCUGACGAGUGGCGAACGGGUGAGUAAUACAUCGGAACGUGCCUAGUAGUGGGGGAUAACUACUUGAAAGAGUGGCUAAUACCGCAUGAGAUCUACGGAUGAAAGCAGGGGAUCGCAAGACCUUGUGCUACUAGAGCGGCCGAUGGCAGAUUAGGUAGUUGGCGGGAUAAAAGCUUACCAAGCCGACGAUCUGUAGCUGGUCUGAGAGGACGAUCAGCCACACUGGGACUGAGACACGGCCCAGACUCCUACGGGAGGCAGCAGUGGGGAAUUUUGGACAAUGGGCGCAAGCCUGAUCCAGCAAUGCCGCGUGCAGGAUGAAGGCCUUCGGGUUGUAAACUGCUUUUGUACGGAACGAAAAGCCCUGGGUUAAUACCCUGGGGUCAUGACGGUACCGUAAGAAUAAGCACCGGCUAACUACGAGCCAGCCGCCGCAGUAACAC
rnacentral:rRNA from 1 species